AGCCUAGAAUAAGACCAACCAGAGCCUAGAUCUAGAUCGAUCAGAGCUCAAAAUUAGGCUAAUUCGAAGCAAAAAUAGGCCCAAACUAAGGCAAAGCUCUAGUUCAAACUAAAACAAAUAAUUGGAAGGAGUCAAGAGCUCUUAAAUAGAGCUCACAACUCUCAUGAUAAAAGAAUUUCAGACCAUAUCUAUUAUCUUGUAUUAUUUUUUUUUGAACAACAGGUCUUCAAGCACUUAAGUUGAAGUGAGGACCAAUUUGAGUAAGCUAAGGCUGGACUAUCAAGCAAAAGGCAAUAGCUAAAAUGAAGGA
rnacentral:lncRNA from 1 species